UACAGAGGUCCCGAGCGUUGUUCGGAUUCACUGGGCGUAAAGGGUGCGUAGGUGGUUGGGUAAGUCUGAUGUGAAAUCCCCGGGCUCAACCCGGGAACUGCGUCCGAUACUGGAAGGCUUGAAUCCGGGAGAGGGAUGCGGAAUUCCAGGUGUAGCGGUGAAAUGCGUAGAUAUCUGGAGGAACACCGGUGGCGAAGGCGGCAUCCUGGACCGGUAUUGACGCUGAGGCGCGAAAGCCAGGGGAGCAAACGGG
rnacentral:rRNA from 1 species